rnacentral:lncRNA from 1 species
AGAAAGAGGUCUCCAGAUCGCCUGAGAGUAACUACAAGCAAAGAAAAGAUUGUGCCUUGAUUCUGCCAUUUGAUUGCAAAGGAGAUAACUCGCAUCAAUAGGGAGACCCCACGAGAGGAGUCGAUCACGUGUAGGGCAUCGAUCGAGGAUGAAAAGCCAGGUUAGUGUUCGAUGUUUUGGAAUUCCUCUUUUGAUCCAGACAAUUUUAUCCCAAUCCACCAGAGGUUUUACUUCUCUUAAGCUAUUGUAGAUCAGUCCCGAGCAAAAGUCCUCUCUAACAGCGUCUUGGAUGCACCACUGCUGGAUGUCUUCAGAAUCAUUGAGUCUUAUGGUCGAGAGAUGUAGAAGAAGCUGUUCAAAUCGGUCUGAUCGAGCUGGGGGAAGAAACCAAGAUCCAUU